CAGCAGCCGCGGUAAUACGUAGGGUGCGAGCGUUAAUCGGAAUUACUGGGCGUAAAGCGUGCGCAGGCGGUUUUGUAAGACAGGCGUGAAAUCCCCGGGCUCAACCUGGGAAUGGCGCUUGUGACUGCAAAGCUAGAGUGCGGCAGAGGGGGAUGGAAUUCCGCGUGUAGCAGUGAAAUGCGUAGAUAUGCGGAGGAACACCGAUGGCGAAGGCAAUCCCCUGGGCCUGCACUGACGCUCAUGCACGAAAGCGUGGGGAGCAAACAGGAUUAGAUACCCCAGUAGUCCCUGUCUCUUAUAA
rnacentral:rRNA from 1 species